GGAAAUGACUCUUAGCAAUGGAUAUCUCAGCUCUUGCAUCGAUGAAGGGCGCAGUGAAAUGCAAUACAUGGUGCGAGUUACAGAAUCUCGUGAACCAUCGAGUAUAAAUUGCAAGUUGUGCCCGAGGCUAGCCGACCGAGGGCACGUCCACCUAGGCAUCAAG
rnacentral:rRNA from 1 species